rnacentral:rRNA from 1 species
UACGGAGGGUGCAAGCGUUAUCCGGAUUCACUGGGUUUAAAGGGUGCGUAGGUGGGCAGGUAAGUCAGACGUGAAAUCCCUCGGCUUAACCGGGGAACUGCAUCUGAUACUGGAUGGCUUGAGUUCGGGAGAGGGAUGCGGAAUUCCAGGUGUAGCGGUGAAAUGCGUAGAUAUCUGGAGGAACACCGGUGGCGAAGGCGGCAUCCUGGACCGGCACUGACGCUGAGGAGCGAAAGCCAGGGGAGCAAACGGG